AGAGUUUGAUCAUGGCUCAGAUUGAACGCUGGCGGCAUGCUUUACACAUGCAAGUCGAACGGUAACAGGGAGCUUGCUCCGCUGACGAGUGGCGAACGGGUGAGUAAUGCAUCGGAACGUGCCGUGUAGUGGGGGAUAACGUAGCGAAAGUUACGCUAAUACCGCAUACGCCCUGAGGGGAAAGUGGGGGACCGCAAGGCCUCACGCUAUACGAGCGGCCGAUGUCGGAUUAGCUAGUUGGUAGGGUAAAGGCCUACCAAGGCGACGAUCCGUAGCGGGGUCUGAGAGGAUGAUCCGCCACACUGGGACUGAGACACGGCCCAGACUCCUACGGGAGGCAGCAGUGGGGAAUUUUGGACAAUGGGCGCAAGCCUGAUCCAGCCAUGCCGCGUGAGUGAAGAAGGCCUUCGGGUUGUAAAGCACUUUCAGUGGGGAGGAAAAGCGGGUGGCUAAUAUCCAUCGGCCGUGACGCUACCCACAGAAGAAGCACCGGCUAAUUCCGUG
rnacentral:rRNA from 1 species